rnacentral:rRNA from 1 species
AUGAAAGAUUUAGGAGUGGCUGAUGUCAUUUUGAACAUCAAGUUGUUGAGAGACGAUGAUGGUGGGAUUACAUUGCUUCAAUCUCACUAUGUGGAAAAGAUCUUGAGUCGCUUUGGCUAUAGUGACUGCAAGCCCUCUCCAACACCAUAUGAUGCUACCAGUGCUACAAGACCUGACAUCUCUUUUGCUGUUAGCAAACUGAGUCGGUUUGUUUCAAAACCAGGAGAUGUGCAUUGGAAAGCUCUAGAGAGAGUUCUGCGUUAUUUGAAAGGCACUGUGAAUUAUGGAAUUCACUACACUGGGCACCCAAAGGUGCUUGAAGGGUAUAGUGACUCAAACUGGAUCUCAGAUGCUGAUGAGAUAAAGGCCACGAGCGGUUAUGUAUUCACUCAUGGAGGUGAUACAGCUACGGUGGAAGCAGAUUGGCUUCGUCGGCUCUUGAAUGACUUGCCGGUUGUUGAGAAACCUGUACCGGGUAUUCUUAUGAACUGUGACAAUCAAACUAUGAUCACGAAAGUGAGCAGCUCAAAGGAUAACAUGAAGUCAUCAAGACACGUUCAGAGAAGAUUAAAGUCUGUCAGGAAAAUGAAAAACUCCGGAGUUAUUGCAUUGGAUUAUAUCCAAACGUCUAAGAACCUGGCAGAUCCUUUCACUAAGGGUCUAUCACGUAAUGUGAUAGAUAAUGCAUCGAGGGAGAUGGGUAUGAGACCCACA